GCAAACUUUUAACCCAUCCACUGGGUUAAAACAACCAAUUCGCUGAGUUUUACCAUUUUCAACCCAACUUGGCUUGUUUUUAACCCAGCAUUUUUUAGAGUGUACAUUUUUCUUUUAAAUUUCCAUGAAAAAACAAGCUAAACUUCAUCUUUGUCCUCUGUUUUAUUUUGCAGGCGCUCAUCAAAAAUUUAGUUUGUCGAAGGAACACGCUCUGACCGUGUGGUAAAGCGUUUGUAAAAUGAUUUACAGCACACAGCGUUUAACGCUCUUGAGAGAGUGGAUUCCUAAAAUACUAAACGCCGAACUGAGUUGUUUUGAUAAAUAUUUGAUGUCUCAUUUAUCAAUGAGUUAGCAGGUGAUUUAUUCAAUACCACAAGUGAUAUUGAAUAAACACUCCGACAGGCGUUUAUCGAUGAACCGCUUCAAAAAAACACGCAUGCAGAAUUGAACUGAAUUGACUUCAGCCUCACAUAAAAGAUGGACGAACUUACAAUAUCAACAGCAGAAGAGAAUGAAUCUUGUUUUAUUUUUCUCUGAGUGUGUGUGUGUGUGUGUGUGUGUGAGGAAUCCUCUGCGCCUGCAUUAUUUGAGUCCAUUAAAGCUCUUCUACCUUCCCAAGGAUUUGAUUUCUGUCCCAUAACCAGCGACUGUGACUGGGCAUCGAGUCGGCUCUUUAAGACCAGACCCCCAGAUCGAUGGCGCUAGCUUUACCAGGGCGCUAACAGCCUCCGCAGUGUCUCCGUUAGAUCCACAGGUUUGCACAGGGAAACAAGGGCCGACUCUGACCCGGUCGAGGGUCCUUAAGGGCCCUCCUGAAGAGAGGAGGAGCGAUGGGGAAGGAAAUUGCUAGUUGCUUAUGAACGCCGGCUCUGUCUGUCUCCUCUGAGCUGUCUCUGGUCCUCCUUGACCCGGUGUAAGGUUGAGUCCAUUUACUGCAUGUCACCAUCAGUCGGCGUCUUGGCUUAAAAAUGGAGCAGUCCGACCAUGAGCUGAGGGGUCGGCGCUGACGGUCUGUCAGUCAGAUGGUUCUCAGGAGAGUCUUUUGUUUUGAAUAGGGGGAAAAUCUGAGCCACGGAGAAGAGAUUCCCAGCCCGAUCAAUUCCCUCUAACUACACUAUUGAUUAGCUGCAGUUACAAAUCACAUAUCAUUCCCAAGGAAGAUAAACUCCCUCUAACCGGAGAACGACGGCUCGCCUUUGACCAACAGAUCUCACGCUUGAAAGAUAUAAAACCUCACCAAGGUUGGACCUCUUCUUUCUUUAUGCUGCUUGGCCUUCGGCUCUCACUCAUCGUGACUCACCUCUCCUGCCUCCCUCGGCAAGACAGAAAUUAUCUGAAACUGAUUCUACGAUCAAUAACAACAUACCCACCAAUCAAGCGGGCCGACCCGGGGUUGAGAGCCAAUCACCAGCUCAACACGCCUCCUGUUUCAAGAGUCUGAGGAAACGGAAACAACAAACA